UUUAAUAUGGCAGAUAAGUGCAAAUGAGCUUAAAAUUCAUAUAUAAAGUUUAUUAACUUUUAUUAAAA
rnacentral:tRNA from 1 species